UAAGUACAGACCAAACUUUAACCGGUGAAACCGCAGACGGCUCAUUAAAUCAGAUAUAACCCACUGGGCCUUAAAUCUCUCUUAGUUGGAUAACUGUGGUAAUUCUAGAGCUAAUACAUGCCUCGAGUCUCUGACGGCGGCUUCGGUCGACGGAGGAGCGCUUUUAUUAGUAUCCAAAACACCCCGCUCGCACCUCGGUGCUUGCCACGUGCUUGGUGAAUCUAGAUAACCACUGCUGAGCGCACGAGCGCCGUCCCUCCGCUUCGGCGGGGGACCAACGGCCCGGCGCCGCACCCAACGAGAAUCUGCCUUAUCAGCUUGACUGUAGGUUAAAUUCCUACAAUGGCAAUAACGGGUAACGGAGAAUCAGGGUUCGAUUCCGGAGAGGGAGCCUGA
rnacentral:rRNA from 1 species